rnacentral:rRNA from 1 species
AAUGUCUGGGAAACUGCCUGAUGGAGGGGGAUAACUACUGGAAACGGUAGCUAAUACCGCAUAACGUCGCAAGACCAAAGAGGGGGACCUUCGGGCCUCUUGCCAUCGGAUGUGCCCAGAUGGGAUUAGCUUGUUGGUGGGGUAACGGCUCACCUAGGCGACGAUCCCUAGCUGGUCUGAGAGGAUGACCAGCCACACUGGAACUGAGACACGGUCCAGACUCCUACGGGAGGCAGCAGUGGGGAAUAUUGCACAAUGGGCGCAAGCCUGAUGCAGCCAUGCCGCGUGUAUGAAGAAGGCCUUCGGGUUGUAAAGUACUUUCAUCGGGGAGGAAGGGAGUAAAGUUAAUACCUUUGCUCAUUGACGUUACCCGCAGAAGAAGCACCGGCUAACUCCGUGCCAGCAGCCGCGGUAAUACGGAGGGUGCAAGCGUUAAUCGGAAUUACUGGGCGUAAAGCGCACGCAGGCGGUUUGUUAAGUCAGAUGUGAAAUCCCUCGGGCUCAACCUG